GCCUGGGCGGGUGGGGAGAGAAUAGUGUCUACCGCAGGGCUGUGGGCUGCUGUGCCCAGCAGACCUGCCCACCUCAGGCACCCUGAGGGGCACCCAGGCACUGCCCCCACAGAGGGGCUCUCCUCAAGACCCCUCCUCAGCAUCUAUCAGGCCCCACCCUGGACCCCUGCAUCCGCCUCCAGGUCGUGGUCCAGGAACCUGCAGGUCGAACUCUCCCCCAUGGUUCUGUCCGCGUUUUAAACACCAGAGGGUUGGAAGCCUCAACUGGACUUUCCCACCUUCCACUCUCCUCACGAAGGCAGCAGCUCGAGGGUUUGAGGAGAACUGGCCAGCAUAGCCCCCACCUCACGGACCCGGGAGCCCCCCGACUGGUGCCUGCUCCCGGAAGCCCCCCGACUGGUGCCGUGCUGCUACAUGGCUAACAACUGGCUCUCCGAGCGAACACACCGCCUGUGUGCAAACUGAGUUCAUCCGGCACGUUGCUGAUGUAAGGGAUGCACAGCACACCAUUUGAUGCACGUUUUUAAAUGAGAUGGAAGUGAAGCCGGACAGACCCAUGCUGGAAUUCGGGGCACCCCUCUGAGCGACGUCUUUGCUGAAUCAGAUGGUCGCGGUUGAUAUCGUAAGACCAUGUCCUCCACCUUUUGGGCUAUUCUCAAGGGAGCGGCCACAGACAUGACACACUUUUAAGUUUAAUCACAUCAUCCACGUGUUCUCCAUCACUUCAGUAAGUCCAGAGAGUCAACAGAACAAGACAUUUGUAGCGUUUGCUGCUUUCCCUGGUGUAAGUACUCCCACGUGGCUGACUUCUGGCUACCAAUGCAGUGCCCUUGAGUGUGGAGCUGGGAAGAGGCAGCUCCCCUUUACAGAGUCUCCCCCAUCCAGGCACAGCAGACGCAGACAGCCCCACGAGCAUAGAACAGCCAACUAGAGUCAGAUAAGUAGGAAAUCACCCAUUUUGAGCACUUGUUACACUUUUAAAAAAUUAACCUUUUAUUUUGUGAUAAUUGUACAUAGUUUUAAUAAAUAAUAGAGCUCAUGUACUUUGUACCCAGUUUCCACAACAGUAGCAGCUUGCAAAAUACUGAUACUGAUAUAGUCCAGUAUCUCAGCCAGCACAUCGCCAUUGGCACAAAAAUCCUGGUUCGCCAUAUGUUGCAUUUUCAUUUUCACUCAG
rnacentral:lncRNA from 10 species